rnacentral:rRNA from 1 species
GAUGAACGCUAGCUACAGGCUUAACACAUGCAAGUCGAGGGGCAGCAUGGUCUUAGCUUGCUAAGGCCGAUGGCGACCGGCGCACGGGUGAGUAACACGUAUCCAACCUGCCGUCUACUCUUGGACAGCCUUCUGAAAGGAAGAUUAAUACAAGAUGGCAUCAUGAGUCCGCAUGUUCACAUGAUUAAAGGUAUUCCGGUAGACGAUGGGGAUGCGUUCCAUUAGAUAGUAGGCGGGGUAACGGCCCACCUAGUCUUCGAUGGAUAGGGGUUCUGAGAGGAAGGUCCCCCACAUUGGAACUGAGACACGGUCCAAACUCCUACGGGAGGCAGCAGUGAGGAAUAUUGGUCAAUGGGCGAGAGCCUGAACCAGCCAAGUAGCGUGAAGGAUGACUGCCCUAUGGGUUGUAAACUUCUUUUAUAAAGGAAUAAAGUCGGGUAUGCAUACCCGUUUGCAUGUACUUUAUGAAUAAGGAUCGGCUAACUCCGUGCCAGCAGCCGCGGUAAUACGGAGGAUCCGAGCGUUAUCCGGAUUUAUUGGGUUUAAAGGGAGCGUAGAUGGAUGUUUAAGUCAGUUGUGAAAGUUUGCGGCUCAACCGUAAAAUUGCAGUUGAUACUGGAUAUCUUGAGUGCAGUUGAGGCAGGCGGAAUUCGUGGUGUAGCGGUGAAAUGCUUAGAUAUCACGAAGAACUCCGAUAGGGAAGGCAGCCUGCUAAGCUGCAACUGACAUUGAGGCUCGAAAGGGUGGGUAUCAAACAGG